CGGAAUGUGCGUCUAAUUGGUAAGACGGGGGAGUGUCGCGACUCCCGAUCCAGGUUCGAUUCCUGGCUUUCCGGC
rnacentral:tRNA from 1 species